rnacentral:tRNA from 1 species
UAGAUUGAAGCCCGCUGGUUUGGGCUUUUAGUUGUUAACUAAAGGUUUAUGGGAUCAAGGCCCGUCGAUCUAG